GUGCUUGCUUUGGUAGCACAUACACUAAAAUUGGAAUGAUAUAGAGAAGACUAUCAUGGUCCCUGAGCAAGGGUGACACAUAAAUUUGUGAAGUUUUCCAUAUUGUU